UUACCGGUCAAAGAUUCAUUGUUUUAUUUGGAUUUUGUUGUAUUUACACAACUUCUUUUGUGAAAAACUCAAUUACAUGAAGCAAAUAAGCACACACUAUCCACAACUUCCAAUCCUCACAAGUUUUCUAUAUUUCUUUGUUUAUAUUAUAAGCUACCCCACACAAAAGCAAAAAAUCUAAUAAAAUUGCUUUUGCAAAUGAAGAAAAACAUGCAUACAUUGUAUACUACUAACAAUAACAA
rnacentral:lncRNA from 1 species